UGGGGAAUUUUGGACAAUGGGCGAAAGCCUGAUCCAGCAAUGCCGCGUGUGUGAAGAAGGCCUUCGGGUUGUAAAGCACUUUUGUCCGGAAAGAAAUGGCUCUGGUUAAUACCUGGGGUCGAUGACGGUACCGGAAGAAUAAGGACCGGCUAACUACGUGCCAGCAGCCGCGGUAAUACGUAGGGUCCAAGCGUUAAUCGGAAUUACUGGGCGUAAAGCGUGCGCAGGCGGGUUGUGCAAGACCGUGUGAAAUCCCCGAGCUUAACUUGGGAAUUGCAUUGGUGACUGCACGGCUAGAGUGUGUCAGAGGGGGGUAGAAUUCCACGUGUAGCAGUGAAAUGCGUAGAGAUGUGGAGGAAUACCGAUGGCGAAGGCAGCCCCCU
rnacentral:rRNA from 1 species